GCGACGUAGCCAAGCGGUAAGGCGAAGGUCUGCAAAACCUUUAUUCAGCGGUUCAAUUCCGCUCGUCGC
rnacentral:tRNA from 1 species